CUUUACGGAGAGUUUGAUCCUGGCUCAGGACGAACGUUGGCGGCGCGCAUAAUGCAUGCAAGUCGAACGAAGUCCCACCCUUCGGGGUGAUGACUUAGUGGCAGACGGCUGAGUAACACGUGAGUGAUCUGCCUUUGGGUGAGGGACAACAGAGGGAAACUUCUGCUAAUACCUCAUACGAUCCAAGAUCUAGGGUCUUGGAUGAAAGGUGCCGGGUAACUGGUUGCCGCCCUUAGAUGAGCUCGCGGCCUAUCAGGUUGUUGGUGGGGUAAUGGCCUACCAAGCCUAAGACGGGUAGCUGGUGUGAGAGCACGACCAGUCAGAGGGGGACUGAGACACGGCCCCCACUCCUACGGGAGGCAGCAGCAGGGAAUCUUCCACAAUGGGCGAAAGCCUGAUGGAGCGACGCCGCGUGAGGGAUGAAGGCUCUAGGGUCGUAAACCUCUUUUCUUAGGGAAGAGCAAGGACGGUACCUAAGGAAUAAGUGACGGCUAACUACGUGCCAGCAGCCGCGGUAAUACGUAGGUCACAAACGUUGUCCGGAAUUAUUGGGCGUAAAGGGUCCGUAGGCGGUUCUGUAAGUCUCCUGUGAAAUCUUCAGGCUCAACUUGAAGAGGUCGGGGGAUACUGCUGAACUUGAGACUGACAGAGGCAAGUGGAAUUCCCGGUGUAGUGGUGAAAUGCGUAGAUAUCGGGAGGAACACCAAUGGCGAAAGCGGCUUGCUGGG
rnacentral:rRNA from 1 species